rnacentral:rRNA from 1 species
UACAGAGGGUGCGAGCGUUAAUCGGAAUUACUGGGCGUAAAGCGUGCGUAGACGGCUAUCUAAGUCGGGUGUGAAAGCCCCGGGCUCAACCUGGGAAUUGCAUUCGAGACUGAAUAGCUAGGGUGCGGUAGAGGGAAGCGGAAUUUCCGGUGUAGCGGUGAAAUGCGUAGAUAUCGGAAGGGACAUCAGUGGCGAAAGCGGCUCCCUGGACCAGCACCGACGUUCAGGCACGAAAGCGUGGGGAGCAAACAGG